GUUCCUACGGGAGGCAGCAGUGAGGAAUAUUGGUCAAUGGGCGGGAGCCUGAACCAGCCAAGCCGCGUGAGGGAAGAAGGUACAGCGUAUCGUAAACCUCUUUUGUCAGGGAACAAAGGCGGGGACUAGUCCCCGGAUGAGGGUACCUGAAGAAAAAGCAUCGGCUAACUCCGUGCCAGCAGCCGCGGUAAUACGGAGGAUGCGAGCGUUAUCCGGAUUUAUUGGGUUUAAAGGGAGCGUAGACGGCAGCGCAAGUCUGAAGUGAAAUCCCAUGGCUUAACCAUGGAACUGCUUUGGAAACUGUG
rnacentral:rRNA from 1 species